rnacentral:rRNA from 1 species
UACGUAGGGUGCAAGCGUUGUCCGGAAUUAUUGGGCGUAAAGGGCUCGUAGGCGGUCCGUCACGUCGGGAGUGAAAUCCUGGGGCUUAACCCCAGAACUGCUUCCGAUACGGGCAGACUAGAGGUAGGUAGGGGAGAAUGGAAUUCCUGGUGUAGCGGUAAAAUGCGUGGAUCUCGGGAGGAACACCAAUGGCGAAGGCAGCUUCUUGGCUCAUUCCUGACGUUGAGGCACGAAAGCGUGGGGAGCAAACAGG